ACACCUCAACUCUCAUGGCUUGCCAUGAUGAGCUUGGACUUUGGGGGUCUUGUUGGCCUGUGAGCCAGCUCCUCUUAAAUAAAUCAGCUUGCCGGUGUUUGGUGGCGUCACAGGUGUGAUAACUAUCUACGCUUGUGUUUUCCCAUCAGGUAACCUUCAGCAUUGAAGGUUCAUCGGAGCUUAUAGACUCUCUCCUCAAGUGAGGAUGGAUUUUGACC
rnacentral:misc_RNA from 1 species